AUUGAACGCUAGCGGGAUGCUUUACACAUGCAAGUCGAACGAGUGGCGGACGGGUGAGUAAUAUAUCGGAACGUGCCCAGUAGCGGGGGAUAACUACUCGAAAGAGUGGCUAAUACCGCAUACCAUCGGAGCGGCCGAUAUCGGAUUAGCUAGUUGGUGGGGUAACGGCUCACCAAGGCAACGAUCCGUAGCUGGUUUGAGAGGACGACCGGCCACACUGGAACUGAGAAACGGCCCAGACUCAUACGGGAGGCAGCAGUGGGGAAUUUUGGACAAUGGGGGAAAGCCUGAUCCAGCCAUCCCGCGUGUAUGAGAAGGCCUUCGGGUUGUAAAGUACUUUUGGCGAGGAGGCGGUAUCUGCAGAAGAAGCACCGGCUAACUACGUGCCAGCAGCCGCGGUAAUAC
rnacentral:rRNA from 1 species